UCCCAGUUAGUACAGUGGCUAGUAUAUGACGCUCUCACCGUCAAGACCCGGGUUCAAUUCCCGGACUGGGAA